UGGGGAAUUUUGGACAAUGGGGGAAACCCUGAUCCAGCCAUCCCGCGUGUGCGAUGAAGGCCUUCGGGUUGUAAAGCACUUUUGGCAGGAAAGAAACGUCGCGGGUUAAUACCCCGCGAAACUGACGGUACCUGCAGAAUAAGCACCGGCUAACUACGUGCCAGCAGCCGCGGUAAUACGUAGGGUGCAAGCGUUAAUCGGAAUUACUGGGCGUAAAGCGUGCGCAGGCGGUUCGGAAAGAAAGAUGUGAAAUCCCAGAGCUUAACUUUGGAACUGCAUUUUUAACUACCGGGCUAGAGUGUGUCAGAGGGAGGUGGAAUUCCGCGUGUAGCAGUGAAAUGCGUAGAUAUGCGGAGGAACACCGAUGGCGAAGGCAGCCUCCUGGGAUAACACUGACGCUCAUGCACGAAAGCGUGGGGAGCAAACAGGAUUAGAUACCCUGGUAGUCCACGCCCUAAACGAUGUCAACUAGCUGUUGGGGGCCUUCGGGCCUUGGUAGCGCAGCUAACGCGUGAAGUUGACCGCCUGGGGAGUACGGUCGCAAGAUUAAAACUUAAAGGAAUUGACGGGGG
rnacentral:rRNA from 1 species